CAGAGGUCUCAACCGUUGUUCGGAUUCAUUGGGCGUAAAGGGUGCGUAGGCGGCGGAGUAAGUCAGGUGUGAAAUCUCGGGGCUCAACCCCGAAACUGCACUUGAUACUGCUUCGCUCGAGUACUGGAGAGGAGACUGGAAUUUACGGUGUAGCAGUGAAAUGCGUAGAUAUCGUAAGGAAGACCAGUGGCGAAGGCGAGUCUCUGGACAGUUACUGACGCUGAGGCACGAAGGCCUGGGGAGCAAACGGGAUUAGAUACCCCGGUAGUCCUGGCAGUAAACGGUGCACGUUUGGUGUGGGAGGAUUCGACCCCUUCCGUGCCGGAGCUAACGCGUUAAACGUGCCGCCUGGGAAGUACGGUCGCAAGAUUA
rnacentral:rRNA from 1 species